rnacentral:rRNA from 1 species
AACGAACGCUGGCGGCAUGCCUAACACAUGCAAGUCGAACGACAUUUAAAGGGCUUGCUCUUUAAUGAAAGUGGCGCACGGGUGAGAAACGCGUGGAUAACGUACCUAUUGGCUCAGGAUAACCGGCGGAAACGCUGGCUAAUACUGGAUAAGUUCACGGGAAGUUCGCUUCCUGUGAAGAAAGCGGGGCAACUCGCACCGAUUGAACGGUCCGCGUCCCAUCAGCUUGUUGGCGGGGUAAUUGCCCACCAAGGCUACGACGGGUAACUGGUCUGAGAGGACGACCAGUCACACUGGGACUGGGACACGGCCCAGACUCCUACGGGAGGCAGCAGUGGGGAAUAUUGGUAAAUGGGCGAAAGCCUGAUCCAGCCAUACCGCGUGGGUGAAGAAGGCCUUCGGGUUGUAAAGCCCUUUUGUUGGGAAAGAAAUCCAGCUGGCUAAUACCCGGUUGGGAUGACGGUACCCAAAGAAUAAGCACCGGCUAACUUCGUGCCAGCCGCCGCCGUAA